GGACCUCUCAAAUGUACACAUGCACGCUCAUUGUUGCAAGAUGAAUUGCUAUAAUUUUCAUAAAAUGUUCAAUAGUAUACUUAUAGACUUACAGUGAAUCCAUGGAAAUCCUGAUGUCCGAGGAACUUAAUGUGCUGUACGCAAAUGUCAAAUACUAAGCUGUCAUCGUCGGCGGUCGUGUAUGUCUUCCUCCUCCACCUGAUGUCCUUUUUCUAGGACUUUAGCUUUUGCAGAUUCCGCACACGUGCGUGUACCUUUGCUGCCAGGUUAAUGUCCUCAAACGGACAUGUCCACCCAGGUCCCUAGGGUAGCCAAACCAGUUAGCCAGCUGCCUCACAUUCUUUUUUUUUUAAUUGAGAGAGAUAGGAGACGGCCGGAGGAGCACCAGAUUGGAAUAUGGGGAUAAUUACACUUCCGAAUCUGCAGCAUCCUGCCUACAACUGCAUCCUGCAAUUGUCGGCCGAAGGUGUUGACAUGAAAUUAAAAUUAAUUGAGAAUUCCGUGCACAUAGCAACGCAAUCGUGUCGUCCAGCAACUUAAAGUCGGAAGUCAGCAAGUCGAAAAAGCCAUUAACUGAUGGCCAACGUACUCCAUGGAUAAAGAGCCGUUGGAUAUUUCAAGCCAUCCCUUUCACCUCGUUUCCAGAUUCAACAUCAACUAGGACAACUCUUCAAUGAACUUCGACCCUAAGCAGCACUGUUGGACAAUAUACAUUUUUAGGGCUACAAAACAUAAAAUAAUUACUUUGCGAUAUCGAUUUCUAUAGGCAAAGAAAUAGAUAAGCUCAUGCUCAUUAACCUGCCAAAUCAAAUUUUAAACUUCCCAGCUCAAAAGGCCCACUUGACCAAUCUACAAAGGAAAGCUUUCAAAGAUCCCUUUCAUUGCUCCCCGGGCCACAUCCAAGCCGGCUAAUUUCCGAAGACUGGAUGCUGUGUGCUUGGCCUUGUGCUUAUGCAAACCGAAAUCGGCUUGCCAAGCAUUACAAUCAAUUAUGCAUUGGCUUAAAUCAUCGCAUAUGUGAUUUACAUGCACACACACACCCAAGGCAGUCCUAGCCCGAGAACGAACACAUCCACAUCCUCAUCCACCCAAUCGGAGACAUUGCGAAUCAACGGAAGGCAUCGGGGCCACUGGGUCCUGAAUUUUGUCCCCGGCUGGUAUACAGACCCCUCUUCAUCCUUUGGCCAACGCGCUACGUAUGCAACUCAAGUGAAUUAAAUUGGUUUCCAGCUGGUCUGUGCUAUUAGUUGUAAUUGAUUCUUGAAAUAAUUUAUUUUAUGGCUUUUUGUCGCCAACCGCCUCCGGCUGACGAUUGCCUUCACUUAACGAUCCUUGGAGUGGAGUUGAAAGUUCGGCAAAUUGCACAUAAUCGGGAUUUCCUGUCAAUUUCAAUGGCUUAAAUUAAUUUGAAUGGAUUUAGCGCGCUGGCUCUGAUUUUCUUAUUGGAGGAUUGGAGAUAACGAAAUACUUAGAAUAAAAUUAUCAAAAAUAUAAUUGUUUAAUA